rnacentral:tRNA from 2 species
GGGCCCAUAGCUUAGGGGUGAAAGCAGCCGGCUCAUAACCGGCGGAUCCUUGGUUCGAAUCCAAGUGGGCCCA